AUUGAACGCUGGCGGCAGGCCUAACACAUGCAAGUCGAGCGGUUGACGGGAGCUUGCUCCCUGAUUCAGCGGCGGACGGGUGAGUAAUGCCUAGGAAUCUGCCUAUUAGUGGGGGACAACGUUUCGAAAGGAACGCUAAUACCGCAUACGUCCUACGGGAGAAAGCAGGGGACCUUCGGGCCUUGCGCUAAUAGAUGAGCCUAGGUCGGAUUAGCUUGUUGGUGAGGUAAUGGCUCAACAAGGCGACGAUCCGUAACUGGUCUGAGAGGAUGAUCAGUCACACUGGAACUGAGACACGGUCCAGACUCCUACGGGAGGCAGCAGUGGGGAAUAUUGGACAAUGGGCGAAAGCCUGAUCCAGCCAUGCCGCGUGUGUGAAGAAGGUCUUCGGAUUGUAAAGCACUUUAAGUUGGGAGGAAGGGUUGUAGAUGAUUACUCUGCAAUUUUGACGUUACCGACAGAAUAAGCACCGGCUAACUCCGUGCCAGCAGCCGGAGUAA
rnacentral:rRNA from 1 species